UGAAAAAAAUUACAAGUGGAAAAUAGUCAAUUACCCUCGUCAAACAUCAUCAGUAGAAUGCGGCUUUUAUAUCAUAAGGAUGAUGAAGGACUAUUGCUUGAAUGAGACACCAAUGCGAUGGCUAACUCGUAAUUGUGGUGGAAAGAAUACAUAUACACUUGGCGAAAUUAAUGAAACUCGAAAUGAAUGGGCAGCCAAGCUUCUUGAGCGGAUGAGUCAUAGCUAGAGUAACUUUUGAAAUCAGAAUUAAAAAAUAUACUAAUUGUAGUAUUUAGUUAGUACUUACAUAGUUAUUCCAAGUGUAUAUUUUGAUAUUGUAAUUUUUAGAUUUGGAACAUACUGAGUUCUAUUGAUUUUGUCUGUCUAUUGAUU